AUGCUGGGGAAAGCCCUGCCUGGGUUACUUUGUGAACUUAUGAGGCUGCUCAAUGAUGCGGGAGCACUUGAGAAAAUCCUUGAUAACAAGCAGAAGGGUUGCAAAAAAAGGUUCAUGUCUGUAGAAACUGAGACCAAAAAGAAGAUACGAUCAAAGGAGCCGAGUCCAUGUGACAAGCGGGAGGGUAAGGUAGCACCUCAGCCCCCAGCAACUGCGCGCUCCAGCAUCUACAACACAUGCUGGGUCACCCACCCGAACAGCAUGACCGUCUCGUUCCUGCCCUGGUCGGACAGUGGGUCCAGACACUUCCGGGAGAUCAUCUCCUGCAGCACGACGUCAAAGCUGUACACGUCCACCUUGGUAUCGAUCCGCGCGUCGUCGCGGAACCACUACGGUGCCCCUGAUGUUGGUCACCGUGGUGUGCACCUGCUGGUUCCCGAGCAGCUUGGAGAUCCUGAAGUCAGUGAUCUUGGGGGCAUGCGCGCCGUCGAGGAGUAUCUUAUCUGGCUCGCUAACGACCUCUUCGGUCUCACGUUGUCCGAAGACUAG
rnacentral:rRNA from 1 species